rnacentral:rRNA from 1 species
GUGACCUGGCGGCGUGCCUAAUCAUGCAAGUCGAGCGAAUGGAUUAAGAGCUUGCUCUUAUGAAGUUAGCGGCGGACGGGUGAGUAACACGUGGGUAACCUGCCCAUAAGACUGGGAUAACUCCGGGAAACCGGGGCUAAUACCGGAUAACAUUUUGAACUGCAUGGUUCGAAAUUGAAAGGCGGCUUCGGCUGUCACUUAUGGAUGGACCCGCGUCGCAUUAGCUAGUUGGUGAGGUAACGGCUCACCAAGGCAACGAUGCGUAGCCGACCUGAGAGGGUGAUCGGCCACACUGGGACUGAGACACGGCCCAGACUCCUACGGGAGGCAGCAGUAGGGAAUCUUCCGCAAUGGACGAAAGUCUGACGGAGCAACGCCGCGUGAGUGAUGAAGGCUUUCGGGUCGUAAAACUCUGUUGUUAGGGAAGAACAAGUGCUAGUUGAAUAAGCU